UUAUGGCCAUAUCACUUUGAAACACCAGUUCCCAUACGAUCACCAAAGUUAAGCAAUGUUGAUAUUGGUCAGUACCUAGAUAGGUGACCACUUGGGAUUAUCAGGUGCAGUAAG